rnacentral:rRNA from 1 species
AUAGCGGCCGGGAACCACCUGAUCCCAUCCCGAACUCAGAAGUGAAACCUGCCUGCGCCGAUGGUACUUUGUCUUAAGGCACGGGAGAGUAGGGCACCGCCGGGC